GGUGGAGCAUGUGGUUAAUCGAAGAUACACGAAGAACCUUACCUGGCCUUGACAUGGUAGGAACCCUUAAGAGAUUAGGGGUGCUAGCUUGCUAGAACCUACACACAGGUGCUGCACGGCUGUCGUCAGCUCGUGUCGUGAGAUGUUGGGUUAAGUCCCGCAACGAGCGCAACCCUCGUCCUUAGUUGCUAACAGUUCGGCUGAGCACUCUAGGGAGACUGCCUUCGCAAGGAGGAGGAAGGUGAGGACGACGUCAAGUCAUCAUGGCCCUUACGGCCAGGGCUACACACGUGCUACAAUGGGGCGUACAGAGAGCUGCGAUACCGCGAGGUGGAGCCAAUCUCUUAAAGCGUCUCUCAGUUCGGAUUGUUCUCUGCAACUCGAGAACAUGAAGCUGGAAUCACUAGUAAUCGCGGAUCAGCACGCUGCGGUGAAUACGUUCCCGGGCCUU
rnacentral:rRNA from 1 species